AUUCAAAAUCACCCCUCUGUUCACUGAAAUAAAUGCAUAUCUGAUUGCUUUCUUUGGAGAGGCUAAUCAGAAACUCAAAAGAAUUCAACCACUUGUCUCUUAUCUACCUUUGACCUGGAAGUCCCCUCCCCACCUUUCCAGACUGAAUCAAUGUUCAUCAUACAUAUGUUGAUUGAUGUAUCAUAUCUCCCUAAAAUGUAUAAAACCAAACUGCUCUGACCACCACUUAGGACUUCCCUGAGGCUGUGCCACAGGCAUGUGUUCUCAACCUUGGCAAAAUAAACUUUCUAAAUUAACUGAAACCUGUCUCAGGUUUUCAGAGUUCACAUUUCAAAUGACAAUUAUAGCAGAGAAGCAAGGUUGAAGAGGAGAUUGAAGGAUCUUUUCAAUAUUAAGAGUUUCAUUAGAGCAAACUGCUGAGGCCUGCUGGCAUUAGGAAAUAAAGUUCUUCAUUUGUGGAUAGAGAUCUUCUUUAUAUAAUUUUUUGCAUAGCAUGCUUUCGAAACCCUCAGCAGGUAUGCUCAGAGCAAGACAAAAAAGCCACAUCAAAGGAGUGCCUGGACAAGUGAAGCUUUCCCCUCUGUACUCAGUGAGGUUUCACAACUGACAACUUUCCCUGAAGUGGCUAGAGGCCCUUUCUAUCAUUAUUAAACAUAGAUGAAAAUAAUCCACCCAUGUUGAGGUUUUGUUCUCUGAAUGAGCAAUAUUUUUGAGCAACAAAGUUGUUUUCCAAAUAUUACAUUUGGGUGGAUCAAGUGAUAAAUGAGUAAGUUAUCUGUGCCUCUAAGUAUCUUGCCAUUGUACCACCAUUGUUUUAUUUAACAAUAAAAUGUUACUGAAACUGCAGUAAAAAAUAGAAAACCUUCCUAUUUUCCCUUACUAGUUAAUGUGAGAAGACAACACCUGCCUGUUUCAGUCCCACAAAAAUGGUUUUAAUAUAGGGUCACACAAAAUUCAAAGGUUUUAUGGCCCAUUAUAAAACAGCUCUUUGUCUUUGCCCACUAAUUCCCUAGUGUCACAUUUAACAAACAAGGAAACUACAGAUAAUAGAGGUGUUUGCAGAUUAGCUUUCAAAACCAUAAAUAACAUAGGGUUUUCUCACCUACAAAUAUUAAGGCAGCUUAUCAAUGUUUAAGCCCCUUCCUCUUUAUAAUUGUUGCUAACGUUUUAACCCAAAUUGAGAAAAUUUUUCUUUACUGUCUUCUUACAUUGACAGAGUACACAUUCAUUAGAUUUUAUUAUCAGAUUUCAUGGUAUAAAGAGACAUCAGCUGAACACCCACCUACAUCUGAGAUCCCCUGUUUUGGAAGAUGCAUCUGCUUUAUGCUUUCUUUAUUUUGCUCUCUCUUAGCAAUGGUUUUAAUCCUAACUGUCCUGGAAGAUGUAACUGUGAUUCUUUGUGGUCGGCGCAAUGCUACAGACUAACGGAGGUACCAUCAAGUAUUCCGUCUACCAUCAAGAGGCUCUACAUCAGCCACAGAAAAAUUCAUCACCUCCAGCUGUCUGACUUCUCCUGGAUAUAGGCUUUAGAAGAUUCUAUUCUGCUGGCCAGUGGAACAGAGUCAGUAGAAAAUGACACCUUCAAAACUCUGAGUACUUUGAAGACCUUAGAACUCUGGAAAAAUAAGUUGAGGCCCUAGUGCUCUCCCAGCCAGUCUUGAAGUGUUAAAACUAAAUGAUAACUCAAUAAAUGUCCUACAUGGAUCAGAUUUUGAAGGACUUAAGAAAUUAAAAAUCCUCAAACUUAAAAACAACCUGAUCUCUUCCCUCUCUCCCAGCACUUUCUCCUCCCUUGUCAGUUUGCAAAGUUUGAUGUUGGAUGGUAACAACGUGGAGGCUAUAGCUGGACCCCUGAUACUUCCCCAUCUGACACAUAUGAGCCUGGAGAAUAAUAAGCUACAUCUUAUACAAUAGCUUCUUCACUCUUCUGUAGUCUUUGCAAUUUCUCAGUUUCAGUGGUAACUUUCUGACUAAAGUUCCUAUCAAUCUACCCAAAUACUUGCUAUCUUUAAAGAUGGAAAGAAACCACCUCAGAACAGUAAGGUUUUGAGACACAAGACACUUGGAGAAUCUUUCCCAUCUUUACCUGUCAGAAAACUUACUCUCUUCCAUCAAUGGGGCACAGUUCCUUACCAAUUUAACUGCUCUUGAGCUGUCCCAAAACCAGCUCCAAAUAUUGCCCUUCAGACUACCAGUAAAGCUACAAAAACUUGAUUGUAGCAAUAAUCUGAUUCAGAGAGUAACAGCACAAGACUUCCAGGACCUCCAAGACUUGAAACAUUUGAUUCUGGACAACAACAUUGCUAGUUUCUUCGAAGCUGGAGCCCUGCAGAGGUGUUCUCAGCUCUCCAACCUGGCGCUGGAGCAGAAUCUGCUGUUGUCCAUACCCCUAAGCUUGAGAGACAGAGCUGUAUGAAAAGGCAAUGCUGCUCAGUUACUGUUGCCCUGACAGUUGUGGAAUAAUGGGCAUGGCCUCCUCUCACAUCCUGUUUCCAUGCUUUGCAGGCUCCCAGGGACCUUAACUAGGCUGGACCUAAAAGGCAAUGUCAUCCAGAAUAUUGCUGAACGGGAGCUCAAGGACCUCAAGCAGCUUCAUGUUCUAAACCUGAGGAACAAUAAGAUCUCUGCCUUAGACCUAAAAGCCUUAGAGGGUCUGCCUCACCUCAGGCACCUGUACCUGGAUGGAAAUCCCUGGAAUUGCACCUGCAGUCUCUUAAAAGUGAGAGAAGUCCUGAUGGCCAAGGGCACAGAUGUAAGGGGAGGACAAUGUGCAGCACCAACUGAACAGCAUGGGGAGAGCUGGAUGUCUUCCAAGAAGAUCAUGAGGCAAUGUGAGCAUCACUUUCAUCUGACCGAGAAAAGCAAAGAGACCAAAAAGAAAUCAAAACCUGAAGACCCCUCCAGCAUCAGAAUCAACAUGGAUGAUGGAUGAUUAUAACUAUGAAACAGAUUAAGUAUGAACUUUGCUCACAGUUUAGAAAGUGUUUCUUAAUGUUCAAUCACUUAAGUAGAAAUGUGCUAUACACUUAGAUAUGC